GUUGGUGUGUUUUUUUCUUUUUUACUUUCUUUACCCACAUUUUUACAUUCUGCAACGAUGACACGCACAGACACAAAGCACACAUAGACACCACACAGACACCCGCAGACACGCACACGGAAAAAACAGAAAAAUGAACUGAAAAAUGUAAUAUGAAUGAUAAGCACAAAGCAAACAAAAUAAAUAAAAACCACCAAGCGAGAGCAAAACCUAGAAAGACACAAAAAUCUCAGCCGCGCCCAGCCCGGCCCAGGGCCGGCCGCACACAUGCGAUGCUUGCAUUAUGGUUGCUCUGCAUCUGUUGGUAAUGUUGUUGCUAAGUUUUUUGCACUCGUCGCCAUGGUAACUUGGGCCUGAUGCAUGCUGGGAGAAUGUACAAAUUUCUCUGCAUGCCACUCUUUGUCGGUUUGGUUUGGUGAAUCCCCAAAGUCUUCUGUUGGAGUGUUUCUUGUCUCCUGUUCUGUUUUUCUCUUUUGUUUUUUCCCCUUUUUUUUCUUUCUUUCUUUCAAGUUUUGUUUCUUUUGAUGGGGGGGGGAUUGGUUCGUUUUUUUUCCCCCUUCCCUCCCUCUUCACCCGGUCCCCCUCUCCCUUCUCCCCCAAAGCGAUUGUCUUUGGUUCUGUUUUGUUUCUGUGCUGUUUUGGUUUUGGUUUCUUGGGCUGAGCUGUUCUGUGGUUGUUCUCCAAACGCAUUGUGAUGUAAAAGCCAGUGUUCCUGUCCCGACUCUCAUGGGAGGGCAGAAAGGGCUUCCCACAGCUGGGAUGCUGGGCCAGAAAGUGACCGUGUGGGGCAUCAUGACAGGUGGGCGGUGGGAGGUCAGAGCCUGGGUGGGGUAUGUGGGGAGAGCACCCCAAUUUGCCUGACCUCCUAGGCAGCCCCCCUUUUCCUUUAUUCUCUCCUGGGCAGCAGUGCGGGAGGGAACAUAAGCAGGUGUUUUCUCCUCCUCUUAGCCUCAGUGUGAGGCUGUCCCACCACCCAAGUCAGCAAAACAAACCAAAAACCAGGUUUGCUAAGUAAAGCUGAGGAGCCCCCAAGAGUCAGGGUCCUCAUUCAGUCUGCAACAUGUCCAGUAAGGAUAGUGGCAAAUGGAGAAGUCGGGAGAGAGCAGUAACAACUCCGUCCUCCUGAGACUCUGUGUGCUUGGCACAUCGCGUUCCAAAUGCCAGCUGGUGUGGUGGCUUCGUGCAUCCCGGCUGGGCACAGGUCCGGGGCUGCCCACCCGCAUGUGCGGCGGGACAGACUUUGGAAGAAAUACUUGGCCGGCUGUGAAGCCCGGAGCACUGUGCCUCCACCUCCCAGGCGGCGUUAGCUGCUCCCCCUUUCCCUCGCUCAGGCUCUGGGCCCAGUCACAGGUGUCUGCUGUCCAGCAGCGCAGCACGGUCACUUUCGGAGUUCCCCACGCAUCAGAGCUGCGGAGUUCUGGGGGAAACCAGGGGAAUUUUGGACACAGCCUCCUCCCUACUCUCUCUGUCUCCCCACUCCUCUUUGUUCUCUUUCUCUCUCUCCCUCCCUCUCUCUCUGUCUCUCUCCUCUCCUCUCAUAAAACCUUAGAGAUCCAUGUCUCUAUCUUCUGCUCCCUCCCCGAGAAAAAGCAAGCACCCUUGAGACUCUCCUAUCAACUCCAAAUAAAAAACAAACCCGAACAAAAUACCCGUCGAGGGUCCCAUCCACCAGCCCUUACCCAGCGUGCUGCUCAGCAGUCAAGGGUAGAGGCCACUUUUCCUCCUGUCUCGUCCUUCCUCUGCCUGUUCUAACCUCCCAGUUACUAAAUCCAAAGCCACGUUGUCAAGAAAACCUUAGACACAAUAAGAGGGGACUUAUUUCUCCUCGCUCAGUGAGCUUGAGAGCUGCCAGAUCACCCCACGGGAAGCCCCCGAAAGUUGGGGAAAAGUGAUCCCCCAGGCCCUCCACCAACGCUAGGUUCUGGUGCACUGCACCUCAAGGGGCCGAGGGUUUCUGGAGGGCACUAGAUCUCACCGGCAGAACAGCCGGGUCCUGAGAGCUGAGUCUGGGCUGUGGCUCUGUCCCUGCCUCGUUGCGCGACCUUGGGCUUGACCUUUGAGAUGACUUGGACCCCCUCUUUCCUCAUCUGAACAACAAGACCUUAAACGUGCCGUGCUCAGAGUUGCUGGGUAUAUUCCAUUGCACUGAGACCCACGAUCAUCCCCCCUGAACAACUCUUCCCCUCUCUGGGCCCUCCUCCUUCAUUCUUGCCUCCUGUGUCCACUGUUUAAAUAAGGUGGCCUGUGGGAAACUGCUUUAAAAUCACAGGGCAGAAGCUAAUUCAUGUGCUCAAGACUGAAUUUUUUUUUUUUACACUUACUGCUUUUCUGAACUCGUGAGCAAUCGAUCUCAUUGUCUCCUGACUCCAGCCCUGACCCCAGGCAGGACCUCAGUAGCUUUUCCAGAGCCAUAGCUGUUGUCCCUCCGACCUAACCCCAGGCAACUCCCUGGAAAGUUUAGCAGCCGCAGGGGGUGACAAAGAGAGCUUUAAAACUAGGCAAGCCGGACAUGGUGGCACUUGCCUGUCAUCCCAGCACCCUGGGAGGCUGAGCCAGGCAGAAGGAUCACAAGUUCAAGUCCAGCACUGGCAACUUAGCAAGACCCCGUCUCAAAUUAAAAAAAUAUAUAUAUAUAUAUAUAUAUUUUAAAGGACUGGGGAUGUAGUUCAGUGUGAAUUAUCUGGGUUUAAUUCCCAGUACAAAACAAAACAAAAAACUAGGCUACCCUUUCAGGUAGUUACUCGCCUGCAGAAGCCUGCGGGUACUUAACGUUGUUGAAAGCACAGCCUGACCAGGGGGUUGGUUUAUCGCAGGGAGUCUCGCCUACAACAUCGCUCUUCUAACUGCGGAGCAGAAUUCCCAUCUGCCUUUCUCCUGAAAUUGACCACCAGGGUCCCAAGAGCCAAAGUCCAAACCCUGGCCACUUUUGUCACCUGAACUUACAGAUCUGCCCAGGUGGGGACCGGAUGGUGCUCUCCUCAACUAUUAAUUCUGUUUCUUGUCUCUUGGAAGUUGGGAGCCUUUACCGUGUGUGCAGAUGAAGGGCCAGCGAGGCUGCCUUUCCUGGCUGGCCGAGCGACCUAGGGACCUAUGUCAGUGGUGUCCCCCUGCCUGCUACCCAAGCCCUAGCAUUGGUGGACGUGACCUCCAGCGGUUCCUUGGCCUUCUGUGUCCCCAGAGUGACUUCCCCAAGGGUCUGCUGGCCAGCUCUCGGGGUCCUGCUGGGAUCGUGGGGGCAGGCAGUGUGAGAUGAGGACCCAGCCCUUCUCAUCCCGCACCCGUGGGGGGAGAGGGGCUCCCGCAGGAACACUGAGCUGGGACCACUGUCGCCUGCUGCCUGCCUCCUGCCCUGUGCAUUGCUCUUCCCUCUGUGGGUGGGGGCGGGCACGAGGGGCCUCUUAGAUUACACCUGGUCACCUGCAGAGCAGGGGAGGGCAUCGGUCGAUUGGAUGAAACCCAGAGGGGGGAGAGAGAGAGAGGGUAACCUCACCCCCCAAAAUACCCCAUUUUCUGAAACCGUCUCUAGUGCAGCCAGUACCAAGGCCGCAGGUCAGGGCCCCAGCUUCCUCCAGGCCGUGAGGUGGCUUCGUGGGGGAGGGGAGGGGGUCACCAGGCGCUGAAGACCAGAGGGGACCAGAGAGGGCACAGCACAGCAUCGGGGGGUGCCCACCUCCCCGGGCCACAGGCUGGGUCUGAAGGCAGGGACUAGAACCGGGCUUGAAAUUGGGCUCUGACUGCCCCCCUUCCCCGACAGGUGUAAUCUAAGCUUCACUAACCCCUCCCUGGAGGCUGCACCCCUUCCUGGCAUCUGUCCCUGCCCUCGCCGCUGGCAUAAAUGUCCAUUUUGGAGUUUGGAGAAGCAUCUCGAGGUCUCUCUCACCCCAAAAUGGCCCGCAGAGCUCCCCGCACCCCCGGAGCUGCGGCUUGCUGGAUCUCUUGAGCUGUCUGACACUGUUGGGUCCCCACCUGAUGCUUCAACCAAAUCACCUCACUUUUGAGUCCCCCCACCCCGCCUCCCCCUCACUCCACUUCCCCCACCCCACCUCAGUUUUGAUUUUUUUGAGUCUUUGCCUCUUCCUGCCUGGGGGAGGGGCCGUCUCCCGGUUGCUUUGACAGUUUUUGAGUUGUUUUUCCAUGUGAAUUGGGGUUUGAAGCGACCACCCCUCCACCCGCCACCACCCCCCGCCCCCCCAACCCCUCCGCCCAUGCGGGUCCCCUCGCUGAGACCCUCCCCGGCCACUCGGUGACGAGAAGAGCUGGGAACCAGAGCCAGCUGGAGCGUGCUGACCACAAGGCUGGUGUCAUCCCUUAUAACCCGCCUGGACCCUCUAUUCAGUCCGCCGCGUGGCCCCCCGCUUCUCCAUUCUCCCCAUGAGCCACGAGAUCAUGCCGGGGGGCAACGUCAACAUCACCUGCGUGGCCGUAGGCUCGCCCAUGCCCUACGUCAAGUGGAUGCAGGGUGCCGAGGACCUCACCCCCGAGGACGACAUGCCCGUGGGCCGCAACGUGCUGGAGCUCACGGAUGUCAAGGACUCAGCCAACUACACGUGCGUGGCCAUGUCCAGCCUGGGUGUCAUUGAGGCAGUGGCUCAGAUCACCGUGAAAUCUCUGCCCAAAGCCCCUGGGACGCCUGUGGUGACCGAGAACACUGCCACCAGCAUCACCAUCACGUGGGACUCCGGCAACCCAGACCCAGUGUCCUACUAUGUCAUCGAGUACAAGUCGAAGAGCCAGGACGGGCCGUACCAGAUCAAGGAGGACAUUACCACCACGCGCUACAGCAUCGGCGGACUCAGCCCCAACUCGGAGUAUGAGAUCUGGGUGUCGGCCGUGAACUCCAUCGGCCAGGGGCCCCCAGCGAGUCAGUGGUGACACGCACCGUGAGCAGGCUCCCCGCCAGCGCCCUCGCAAUGUGCAGGCCCGCAUGCUCAGUGCCUCCACCAUGAUCGUGCAGUGGGAAGAGCCCGUGGAGCCCAACGGGCUGAUCCGAGGCUGCCGCGUCUACUUCC
rnacentral:lncRNA from 1 species